rnacentral:lncRNA from 1 species
AAACAAGACAUCUGCAGGUAGGUAGUAGCUCCAUGACAUCAUCCGUGUCUCUCAGGGUCUUUUUAUCUUUCCACUCCAACUUCCCUAGCAAAGUUGCGAUAAUUGCUUCACAGUCAUAGACUGGCUGCUGGAUCUCUAGAUAUUCCCAAAAUAUGCACAAGAAAAAAGGGGAAAGUAUGCGUGAGUUUUGUUCCAUUCUACUCAGAAUGCUCUCAGCAGACUUUCACUUACAUUUUAUAGUUUCUAGAACUAAAGGACAUGUCUGCAUCUACCUGCCAGGGAGGCUAAACAAGUAUUUGGCUUUUCAGCCUCUAGAGGAGGAGAGAGCUGGGGAGAGAAGGAGGUUGGAUAAAAUAAUCAGCAGUGUCUGCUGGGAGCAUUUUAUAAAGUGCUAACUCUGGGUAAAUGUUGAUUCCUAGUGUUUUAGUUGAAAGUUUCUUGAAAGUAAAUCAGUCACUCAAUAGAUGGUAGACAGAAUUAGUAGAAUAUAUAACAAGUGAAAGUUAAAAUGCUAGCUUAUUUAGAGGGAUGUCUAAUUUCUACUAUAUCACUAUGGUAAACCACUAGGUCAUAACUGUUAUCUUUCUCACAGGAAAGCGUGUCCAAAACAGGCCUCCAAGUGAAAUGCCACAAAAAGCAAGGAUUAAUUGGGCACCAUUUCCUACUCUUGUCAUCAUGUUUUACAAGCAGAUGAAAUAAUUUGUGCCCUUUCUCAGCCCCUUUUUAGUAUUUGUCAGUAGAAUGGAACGUCAAAAAGGACUUACAGGGCCUAAAAUGUUUAGAAAUUUAAAUAGUACGCAGCAGUACCAUGACCUUUUCAAUAUGCUGGAUUUUCAAUUGUUCAGCCAUUCCUCUUGUUCUUUUCCCUGACUCUUCUUUAUGAGAGGAAAAGGUGAAUUAGCACCUUAAGUAAGGAGUAUUCAUGGGAACAAAACAGCACAUCAUUAAAACAAUUCAGAGGCAAUCCUGCACUGCUUCAGAGUGGCAGGGGAACAAAAGAGGGUAACUUUACCAAUUAUGACAAGGCUAGGGAAAUACUUGUAGAACCUUGCCUUUCCAAUUUUCCCCUUAUGUGUUCUGUAGGUACCCAGGUCUGCGUAUAAAUGUCUAUUCCUAAUCAAUAUGUGACCCUGCCUAUUUCAAGAAUAAAAACUAUGAAAACCCCCAAAGAGAUUGCUGUUCUGCUUCUCUGAAGGGAAAUAGUUGUUUUAGUGUCAUGGCUCCGUGAGAUUUCUUGGAAGAAGCCUUCUAGGGAUGGCCAAGCCCUUCCUCCUGGUGUCCCUGGCACUCUGAAUGUAUUCCCAUGUAGAAAUUACCACAUGGUGUCGUAAGUCUAUUCACCCACUUGGUCUCCCAGGUAGGUGUCAAUUACAUGCUAGAACACAGGAGGAAUUCGCAAAAUGUUGGCCUAAUAAAUGCUACCCUGUGCCAAGGAGCAGGCUAGGUCUGUAGCCAAGAGGUCUUCUCACCUGCUAGUCAGAGGUUCUCCAUCUCUGAAGAGACUUGAGGAAAUGGCAGGCAUGUUGGAUGUGUGACAGCCUUCUCCACAAACCCCAAGUUUUAUCCCAAAGCUGAUUUGGGUACAGCUCUCCCUAUACUAUAGAAUUGUACUACCUAAGAAUUCCACAGAUGCAAGCAGCUAUCAAGCCUCUCUGCUACUUUUUUACAGGGAAAGAGAAGGUAGGUAUUAUUUUUAGAUACUACUGGUACUUUCGCAAAUUAAAAUAAAAUUUAAAAACCCAGAUCUCAUACUUGUAUUUUUAUACUUUUCCUUUUUUGCUUCAUUCCCCAGAGGUGGGUAGCUCCAGAAACUGAUAGCCAAGGGUGAUUAGGCAGAGCCAAUCUCAAAACGUGUUUGCGCAGACAUGCUAGACAGGUGUCUGAGCAGAGCGGGUGCUGGCAUGUGGGAUUACAUACAGAAGGGGGGAACCACUAUUUUUCUAGAUUUGUUUUAAAAAUGGAGGGAGGGGCAAACUGUAGCACAUGUAACAGUGAAUGAUAAAGCAAAUUAUAUUAGUUAAGGGAGAGGCCUCUGGAGGGAAGGAUGAAAGUUCCAUACCAGGGCUGCCACUGUCUAGUUAUGUGGCCUUGGUUAGUUAACUUCUCUAAUCCUUCGUUUCCAUCUCUGUAGAAUGGGGAUGAUAACAGUACCUACAUCAUGGGGAGCUGUCAGGAGAAUGAGAGGUGAUGUACAGGGUUCGGCUACUGCUAAGUUCUCAAUGAGCAUUAGCUGUGAAUAUGAGCUCUUUACUAUGUGACAGUGGCCAGCCACUGCUCUUCAAGGAGGCUGAACAUAUAUAGACUAGAGAGAGUGCAAGAGUCAGGAGACCUGAGCUUAGACUCAGCUCUGUGACAAACCACAGACUUCAUGCUAGACAGUUCAUCUGGCUUCAGUUUUCUCAUCUAAUAAAUGAGAAAUGUUUGGAUGAAUCACUUCCAACUUGACUGUUAUAGAGACUCCAGAUUCUAGCAACCAGUGUAAGAGAAUCUUAAGACUUAGUUCCGAGUGUCUUCUAUGAGAUUGGAUGUAGCAAAGAUCCAUUUCCUGGGAGCAUUCUUUGACAGAUACAGGCUUUAAGCCUGUAGGAGGCCCAUGCUCACAAAAAAGGAAUGCAUAUUUCCAAAGCAUAACUAUGGCCAACCCACAAAUGAGCAAAGGACACAACCAUCCUAACUGCCUCCCAACCUCUCCACAGCUCUGAAAGACACUUUUUUGGGUUCAUGGAUCCAGUUCCAAGGUGGGGGAUGGGUUCCUGCACAAUACCAAGAAAUUCUUGGACACAAGCAGGGUAUCCGAGAAUUCAACUCAAUUCUGACGCUACCCAGAGAUAGCAUCAGAUUCCACAGGUUAAGGGCUCAGUCCUACAAAAUGCCUCCCCACAAUGGCAUCCCCAACUACAGACACCUUCCAUAAGUCCAGGUUGUCAUCUGUACUGAUCAAAAAGCUAUAGAUUAGAAGUUCCCUUCACUCCUCUCUCAGAUUUGAUAAUUUGUUAGUGAGGCUCACAGAACUCAGGGAAACACACUUAAAUCUAUCAGUUUACUAAAGGAUAUGGUAAAGAAUACAGAUGAACAUCCACAUGGAAGAGAUGUAUAGGUCAAGGUACAUUGGGAGAGCUAUAGAGCUUCUAUGCCCUCUCUGGGCCCACCCUCAAAUGCCUAUUUUCCUUGGUUACUGCCAGGUCAUAACCAGGACACCUUUCUCAUUACACUUGCUGUCUAGCUUUUGUUCUAAUAAUGCUUUAUUUGUCUCCCUGCUCUAAUCUCCCAUUCUUCCCCACCAAACUCUUUCCUUCAACCCUUUACAACUCCUUUUCCAUGGCUCCAAAUCCUCAACCUUCCUUCAGUCUCUUCACCUGCAAAGACAUUUGGCUAUUGCCCUAUAAAACCACUGGUCCUAUAAUCUUCAUGAAUGGAGGCUGCUUUUUCUCUUCCACAUCCUGUGUAGCUCAGCAGUGGAAAGUAAAGUCUGCAGCCCAGUACUUCUGCCUCUAGUUUCUUACAAAUGAAAACUCCUUUCUCUCUGAAGCUCGUGACAGGCUCUCUCUGAAGACACAAUCCCCAUCUUUGGCUUCUCCUCACUCAUUAACUGGUGACUUUGGCAACCAGCUCACUGUCUCCCUCUCUACUCCAAUUCCUUCCACUAUUCUGUGGAAUUCAAAGGUGCAUGUGGCUUGCCUGCCCAGCAUACCGCCUCUAAGGUCCAUAACUGCUGCUGCCCAAAUAUCUCCUCUCUAGCUGAAUCACUCAGUUUCAUUUUCAUAUCUUGUACCUUGUCAUGCCCUGAAAUUCUGCCACUUCCCAAAUUUAUAAUUACAACUCCUAUGCUUCAGUCACAACUCCUUAUUUUUUAAGAUCGACCAUUCACUUACUUCCUCUAUAAUUAAUCAUCUACUGUAUCAAAACAGUCAGUAGCUUAACGCAUCUGCUUUCUAUUUACUCAUGUGCCUCCUCUUGCUUGACCUCCCUUCUAAUUAAGCUUAGAUAUCAUAGUCCAUAAUUUUGUAUCCACUUGAAAAAAUCUAAUCCCCCCCAUAAUUCACUAUCUGAUUUUUGCAUCUAUGCUUGAACUGCUGAGAAAGUUGUAGAAAAAGAAAUUAUAUAACCUGGCAAACUGAUGUUGGUAUCAACCCAUGCUUUCUAUUAACCAGGGUAGACAAGGUUAUG